rnacentral:rRNA from 1 species
GACGAACGCUGGCGGCGUGCCUAAUACAUGCAAGUCGAACGCAGUUGCGAACGGGUGAGUAACGCGUAGGUAACUGCCUCAUAGCGGGGGAUAACUAUUGGAAACGAUAGCUAAUACCGCAUACUGUGAGAUGGACCUGCGUUGCAUUAGCUAGUUGGUGAGGUAAAGGCUCACCAAGGCGACGAUACAUACCCGGCCUGAGAGGGUGGUCGGCCACACGGGGAAUGAGACACGGCCCAGACUCCUACGGGAUGCAGCAGUAGGGAAUCUUUGGCAAUGGACGGAAGUCUGACCGAGCAACGCCGCGUGAGUGAAGAAGGGUUUCGGAGCGGAAAGCUAUGUUGUGAGGGGAGCGUUAACUAACCAGAAAGGGACGGCUAACUACGUGCCAGCCGCCGCGGUAAUUC